rnacentral:rRNA from 1 species
UACGUGAAACCGUUCAGGGGUAAACCUAAGAAACCCAAAAGAUCGAACGGGGAGAUUCAUCGUCAGCGGCGCUGGCUUCGCGUCGGUGGGCGAUGUCCCGCGGAGUCCUCGCGGCUCGCGCGCGGGCACGCUACCGUGCGUCGAUGUCCGGCGCUCGUCGUCGUGCACUUCUCCCCAAGUAGAACGUCGCGACCCGCUGGGUGUCGGUCUACGGCCCGGGUGCGGUGACUGUCGCGUCGCCGGUMAAACGGCACGCGACAAACCCCCGGUCGCCCGGCCGGCUGCUCGGCGGUACGCGCAUGGUAUCAGGCCGCACUAUUUUACGGUGCGUCGAGGCCGUCGCAAGCGCGCGCCACGGUACUCGGAGGUUACGGACUUUGCGCCGUCCCCGGUCCUGGUCCGCUGUUGGUUAAAGUACGGUUCACCUUCGACAGGCCUGCGAACGUCUCUCCCCGGAGAGACCGAUACCGGUCGGCGACGCUACUGCUUUGGGUACUCUUAGGACCCGUCUUGAAACACGGACCAAGGAGUCUAACAUGUACGCGAGUCAUUGGGACUUGUCGCGAGACCUAAAGGCGUAAUGAAAGUGAAGGUCGGCCCUGGCCGUCGACCGAGGGAGGAUGGGCCGCGUCGCGAUGCGGCCUCGCACUCCCGGGGCGUCUCGUUCUCAUCGCGAGAAGAGGCGCACCCAGAGCGUACACGUUGGGACCCGAAAGAUGGUGAACUAUGCCUGGUCAGGACGAAGUCAGGGGAAACCCUGAUGGAGGUCCGUAGCGAUUCUGACGUGCAAAUCGAUCGUCGGAACUGGGUAUAGGGGCGAAAGACUAAUCGAACCAU